GUCCAGCCGCCGCGGUAAUACGGAGGGUGCGAGCGUUAAUCGGAAUUACUGGGCGUAAAGCGUGCGUAGGCGGCUGUUUAAGUCGGAUGUGAAAGCCCUGGGCUCAACCUGGGAACGGCAUUUGAUACUGGGCAGCUAGAGUUUACUAGAGGAGAGUGGAAUUUCAGGUGUAGCGGUGAAAUGCGUAGAGAUCUGAAGGAACACCAGUGGCGAAGGCAGCCCCCUGGGUUAACACUGACGCUCAUGCACGAAAGCGUGGGGAGCAAACAGGAUUAGAUACCCUGGUAGUCCACGCCCUAAA
rnacentral:rRNA from 1 species